AGAGUUUGAUCAUGGCUCAGGAUGAACGCUAGCUACAGGCUUAACACAUGCAAGUCGAGGGGCAGCAUCAUCAAAGCUUGCUUUGAUGGAUGGCGACCGGCGCACGGGUGAGUAACACGUAUCCAACCUGCCGACAACACUGGGAUAGCCUUUCGAAAGAAAGAUUAAUACCGGAUGGUAUAGUUUUCCCGCAUGGGAUGAUUAUUAAAGAAUUUCGGUUGUCGAUGGGGAUGCGUUCCAUUAGGCAGUUGGCGGGGUAACGGCCCACCAAACCUACGAUGGAUAGGGGUUCUGAGAGGAAGGUCCCCCACAUUGGAACUGAGACACGGUCCAAACUCCUACGGGAGGCAGCAGUGAGGAAUAUUGGUCAAUGGACGAGAGUCUGAACCAGCCAAGUAGCGUGAAGGAUGACUGCCCUAUGGGUUGUAAACUUCUUUUAUACGGGAAUAAAGUGAGCCACGUGUGGCUUUUUGUAUGUACCGUAUGAAUAAGGAUCGGCUAACUCCGUGCCAGCAGCCGCGGUAAUACGGAGGAUCCGAGCGUUAUCCGGACUUAUUGGGUUUAAAGGGAGCGUAG
rnacentral:rRNA from 1 species